rnacentral:rRNA from 1 species
AUCGAACGCUGGCGGCAGGCCUAAUACAUGCAAGUCGAACGAGUGGAGGACGGGUGAGUAAGGUCUGGGAAACUGUGUGACGGAGGGGUCAAACUACUGGAAGCGGUAGCUAAUACCGCAAACGAUCCGUUGUGGCCAGAGGGGAUUAGGUUGUUGGUGGGGUAACGGCUCACCAAGGCGACGAUACCUAGCUGGUCUGAGAGGAUGACCAGCCACACUGGAACUGAGACACGGUCCAGACUCCUACGGGAGGCAGCAGUGGGGAAUAUUGCACAAUGGGCGCAAGCCUGAUGCAGCCAUGCCGCGUGUAUGAAGAAGGCCUUCGGGUUGUAAAGUCCUUUCGUCAGAGAGGCGUUACCCGAAGAGAAAGCACCGGCUAACUCCGUGCCAGCAGCCGCGGUAAUAC